CUAACGGCUGAACMGCAACUUGGGGGAACAAAUAUCGAUUCACUCGAAUAAAGUUCUAGAUAGAAUAAUGAUAAUGACAAUUUUCUAUCUAUAUGUCUUGACCAAAUCUCGUGCCAGCAGUCGCGGCAAGACGAGGAAGACUAGUGUUAGUCAUCUUUAUUAGGUUUAAAGGGUACCUAGACUGUAUAUCUAGCCUAACUAAGGUACGGAUUUACUAGAGUUUUAUGUGAGAGGGAUAUAUUAGAACUAUUAAUGUAGAGAUAAAAUUCUUUGAUAUUUUUAGGACUGGUAAAGGCGAAAGCGAACCUUUAUGUAUAAACUGACGUUGAGGGACGAAGGCUUGGGUAGCGAAUAGGAUUAGAUACCCUAGUAGUCCAAGCAGACAAUUAUAAAUGCCAUAGACUAGAUCGCUUUAGUCUAUAAAUGAAAGUGUAAGCAUUUCACCUCAAGAGUAAUGUGGCAACACAGGAACUGAAAUCAUUAGACCGUUUCUGAAACCAGUAGUGAAGUAUGUUAUUUAAUUCGAUAGUCCUCGAAAAACCUUACCACAAUUUGUAUAAUAAAUGUUCUUUAAAUUAAAAGCUAAGUAUCUUAUAAAAAUAGCGGUUAAACGGAUAUAAUUAAUCUAUUUUUUACAAUAUUUUUCAAUUAAAUAAAACUUUUGAAAUUAAAAGUUUUUUAAUUAGAAAAAGUUCAUUAUAUUACAAGCGCUGCACGGCUGUCUUCAGUUAAUGUCGUGAGACUAUGGUUAGAUCCUUUAAAUUAACGUAAACCCUUGCUUUAUUUUUUAAGAUAAGGCAGUUCUCCUAUAUAUUGGAUAAGAUAAAAGGGACUAAGACAAGUCAUCAUGGCCUAAAUAUUGUGGGCUAUAGACGUGCCACAUGUGCCUGGACAAAGAGAUGCAAAAAUGCGAAUUUAAAGCUAAUCUCCAAAACAGGAUAUAA
rnacentral:rRNA from 1 species